UACAGAGGGUGCGAGCGUUAAUCGGAGUUACUGGGCGUAAAGGGCGCGUAGGCGGUUAUAUAAGUGAGAUGUGAAAUCCCUGGGCUUAACCUAGGAACUGCAUCUCAUACUGUAUGACUGGAGUAUUGUAGAGGGUAGUGGAAUUUCCGGUGUAGCGGUGAAAUGCGUAGAGAUCGGAAGGAACACCAGUGGCGAAGGCGGCUACCUGGACAAAUACUGACGCUGAGGCGCGAGAGCGUGGGGGAGCAA
rnacentral:rRNA from 1 species